GACGUAGGCGGCGAGCGUUAUCCGGAUUCACUGGGCGUAAAGCGCACGUAGGCGGCGCAGCAAGUCAGGGGUGAAAUCCCGGGGCUCAACCCCGGAACUGCCCUUGAAACUGCAGUGCUAGAAUCUUGGAGAGGUCAGUGGAAUUCCGAGUGUAGAGGUGAAAUUCGUAGAUAUUCGGAAGAACACCAGUGGCGAAGGCGACUGACUGGACAAGUAUUGACGCUGAGGUGCGAAAGCGUGGGGAGCAAACAGG
rnacentral:rRNA from 1 species